rnacentral:rRNA from 1 species
GACGAACGCUGGCGGCGCGCUUAACACAUGCAAGUCGAACGGUAAGGCCCUUCGGGGUACACGAGUGGCGAACGGGUGAGUAACACGUGGGUGAUCUGCCCUGCACUUCGGGAUAAGCCUGGGAAACUGGGUCUAAUACCGGAUAGGACCACUGCCUGCAUGGGAGGUGGUGGAAAGCUUUUGCGGUGUGGGAUGGGCCCGCGGCCUAUCAGCUUGGUGGUGGGGUGAUGGCCUACCAAGGCGACGACGGGUAGCCGGCCUGAGAGGGUGACCGGCCACACUGGGACUGAGAUACGGCCCAGACUCCUACGGGAGGCAGCAGUGGGGAAUAUUGCACAAUGGGCGCAAGCCUGAUGCAGCGACGCCGCGUGAGGGAUGACGGCCUUCGGGUUGUAAACCUCUUUCAGCACCGACGAAGCGCAAGUGACGGUAGGUGCAGAAGAAGGACCGGCCAACUACGUGCCAGCAGCCGCCGUAACAC